UACCGAGGGUGCGAGCGUUAUCCGGAAUUAUUGGGCGUAAAGAGCUCGUAGGCGGUUUGUCGCGUCUGCCGUGAAAGUCCGGGGCUCAACUCCGGAUCUGCGGUGGGUACGGGCAGACUAGAGUGAUGUAGGGGAGACUGGAAUUCCUGGUGUAGCGGUGAAAUGCGCAGAUAUCAGGAGGAACACCGAUGGCGAAGGCAGGUCUCUGGGCAUUAACUGACGCUGAGGAGCGAAAGCAUGGGGAGCGAACAGG
rnacentral:rRNA from 1 species